rnacentral:rRNA from 1 species
UACGAGGGGUGCAAGCGUUGUUCGGAAUCACUGGGCGUAAAGGGAGCGUAGGCGGGAAUGCAAGCAAUCUGUACAAUCCCGGGGCCCAACCCCGGACCUGCAGAUUGGACUGUGUUCCUUGGAUAGUUCAGGGGCAGGCGGAAUUCCUGGUGUAGCGGUGGAAUGCGUAGAGAUCAGGAAGAACACCGAUGGCGAAGGCAGCCUGCUGGGGACUCAUCGACGCUGAGGCUCGAAAGCGCGGGUAGCAAAC